rnacentral:rRNA from 1 species
UACGGAGGAUGCAAGCGUUAUCCGGAAUGAUGGGGCGUAAAGCGUCCGCAGGGGGCUAUGUAAGUCUGCUGUUAAAGAGUGAGGCUCAACCUCAUAAGAGCAGUGGAAACUACAAGGCUAGAGUACGUUCGGGGCAGAGGGAAUUCCUGGUGUAGCGGUGAAAUGCGUAGAGAUCCGGAAGAACACCGGUGGCGAAGGCGGCCUGCUGGGCAGUAGCUGACACUGAGGCGCGACAGCGUGGGGAGCAAACAGG